GCAGAAGUACCCAAGAGGCUCAAGGGGCUCCCCUGCUAAGGGAGUAGUACGGGACGACCGUAGCACGAGUUCGAAUCUCGUCUUCUGCGCCA
rnacentral:tRNA from 1 species